CCCUAACCCCUCAUAAAUACACAUGGGAGGACACUUCCUUACACACACACACACACACACCCCCGCCCCCCCCCCCCUGACAAAAGGCUUCCUUCCAAUACACACCAACUCUCUGUGUUCUCGGGAGCUCCGACUAAACGUGUGUGAAACACGUUCACAUCCUGGAGUCCACGCAUCCCUCGUUACACUGGGAGGAGACUGGAGCCCCAGGGGCCCAGUGAGUGGUAGAGUUGAACCACUUCCAUUGACCUUCGCCCUGUCCUUCCCCUAAAGCACGUGGUCCGGAUUGUGCAACAGUCAUUGAGCCGACGCGUCCAAAGCUCCGUGCGCACGCGGCGGAGAGAACCAAAGCCUGACGACAACACGACAUCUCUUCUCUAACUCAGAGAUACGGAGAUCUGACCUCCCGACCUGGAGCUUCCUAACUUCCACAUCCAACUGAAGCCUGGUGACAGGCUGGUGACAGGCUGGUGCCAGGCUGUUGACAGGCUGGUUGGACUGUAAACAGUCACUGCUGUACUAAGGUGUGUGCUGUGACCAGAGUCAACGUCAUGUUUAUGGAGUGCUGUCAUCUGUCACUCACUGGAAUGCUUCAUGCAGCUCUGUCGAUUCUUUUGGGGGAACAUUGUUUUAGAAUGAACUCCAAUCCUAGGGGAGCACGGAGAACGAAAUCCCCAAAAUGAUGUUUCAAAUGUUUCAAACACAGGAAAAACAAACUAACUGAGCUGGUCUCUCCCGGGUCAAUCCACCCGCUGAUGAACGGAGGAGUCCGUCAAGGAGAGGGAACGCGCCCAGAUGGUGUUCAGGGUGGGGGUCGG